rnacentral:lncRNA from 1 species
CCGGCCCACGAGAUGGACAUCUGCUAUGGUAGAGCCUGUGAAAAGAAUUAUGUAGCCAGGAGUGGUGCUAACCUGAGCUGGGGAGUCGGGAGGGGGCCAUCAGUCACUCCUUGAUCCCCUGCUGCUCUCCUUAGGAAAAUGGUAAGCCCCAUCAGAACUGGACGGGCGUGCUUUACAUCUUCUACCGUAAGCAUCAAAGGAUGCGGCCACCUGAUAGAACAAAGGAGAUUCUCUGGUACCAUCUCAGCCCCAGCAUGAGACAGUGGCUACUCAGUUCAGUCUUCUCCCAGUUCACUGCUCAACCGGAGCUGAGGCUGUGGUCGGUACAGUUGACUCCAGGACUCCAGGACCUCCACCUAAAGCCUUCCCAGCUUCCUUCCAGGUUUCUCUACAGUGGACUUCCCCUCCAAAGCCAACUUUUGACCCCAACGUUCUUCCAGUGAAGUUGUACAGCUCCGAGUUAAACGUUUUCAUCGUCUCUGAAGAACUAAAGUUGUGGGAUAUCAAAGGAAGCGUUGGAGAAGUACUUGGUGCUCACGAGUACGACCAGGGAAGAAGUACACGGGGGAAGUGACCUAAAUGCCUUCCUCAGACAAAUAAGUACCUGAAAAAAGCUGCAAGCUGACUGUGCGGUGAAAGUAAGGGAUAGCCAGUCCUCAGCCUGCGAACUCCAUUGACGUGCACGGUCUAGAUUGAGAUCUGGUGAGUCCCUCUGGAUAUUGGGAAGAUCCCUGUGAGACCACUCAUGGAAGCAUAUAGAGAAGAGUUAUACAGGGUGAAAAAAUGAAGAAGGCUUGUCAUAUGUGCCUCGUGGUGAGAUAUCGAUGGGAAGGAGACCAUCAAGCCACUGGGCAUAUGACAUGAAAGCGUAUGUUCUUAGUUGACCAGACCAUCAUCUCUCUGAGGGUGAGAUCUACCCUGAUCUUUGUAUAUACGCCACGGUGCCUGGCUGAGACUUAAUGCUCUAUAGUGUGUCUGACAAUUUUUCUGAUGGGCCAGUAAGAAAAUGUUUUAAAAUGAAACACAAUCGCUGAUUAUGAUAUUCUGAAACGACACUUCUUAAUCAUGCAAAUGUUUGUCGUGUUCACUUCCUAUUUUGUUAACCUUCUCUAAAAUAACAAAUUAGCUAUAAAAAUAAGUAACAUAUUGGUAUUUCCUUGACAAACUGACAAGACAGCCUAAACACAUUUAAAUGUUUAGCAUUCAUAGGAUCAUAGAUUUUGAACUCAUGCCCUAAAGAAGUUGUGACGUGCCCAAGAUCUCACGGUGGCAAAGCUUAGGUUCAAACGCCACCUCGCUCAGAUUCAGAUCUCCAUCACUUUUUACUCAUGUUUUACUUCCAGAAGAUAUAUUUAUCCUGGCCCUUUAUUUUAAGCGUGCCAAUAUAAUUCAUUAAGUGUGAAUUUACAUGGACAUCACAUAUACUUUCGUAGGCGUUUUGCU